rnacentral:rRNA from 1 species
UACAGAGGGGGCAAGCGUUAUUCGGAAUUAUUGGGCGUAAAGAGCUCGUAGGCGGUCUGUCGCGUCGGCUGUGAAAACUCGGGGCUCAACUCCGAGCUUGCAGUCGAUACGGGCAGGCUAGAGUUCGGCAGGGGAGACUGGAAUUCCUGGUGUAGCGGUGAAAUGCGCAGAUAUCAGGAGGAACACCGGUGGCGAAGGCGGGUCUCUGGGCCGAUACUGACGCUGAGGAGCGAAAGCGUGGGGAGCGAACAGG